rnacentral:rRNA from 1 species
GGUGGUUUGUCGCGUUGUUCGUGAAAACCGGGGGCUUAACUCUCGGCGUGCGGGCGAUACGGGCAGACUGGAGUACUGCAGGGGAGACUGGAAUUCCUGGUGUAGCGGUGGAAUGCGCAGAUAUCAGGAGGAACACCGGUGGCGAAGGCGGGUCUCUGGGCAGUAACUGACGCUGAGGAGCGAAAGCGUGGGGAGCGAACAGGAUUAGAUACCCUGGUAGUCCACGCCGUAAACGGUGGGUACUAGGUGUGGGUUUCCUUCCUUGGGAUCCGUGCCGUAGCUAACGCAUUAAGUACCCCGCCUGGGGAGUACGGCCGCAAGGCUAAAACUCAAAGGAAUUGACGGGGGCCCGCACAAGCGGCGGAGCAUGUGGAUUAAUUCGAUGCAACGCGAAGAACCUUACCUGGGUUUGACAUGCACAGGACGCCGGCAGAGAUGUCGGUUCCCUUGUGGCCUGUGUGCAGGUGGUG